UAUAAUGUCUACAGACAGAGUGGGUAGAGGUAGACUCAGAUGUUCUGUUAGCUGGGUAUAAUGACAGAGUGGGUAGAGGUAGACUCAGAUGUUCUGUUAGCUGGGUAUAAUGACAGAGUGGGUAGAGGUAGACUCAGAUGUUCUGUUAGCUGGGUAUAAUGACAGAGUGGGUAGAGGUAGACUCAGAUGUUCUGUUAGCUGGGUAUAAUGACAGAGUGGGUAGAGGUGGACUCAGAUGUUCUGUUAGCUGGGUAUAAUGUCUACAGAGCAGACAGAGUGAGUAGAGGUAGACUCAGAUGUUCUGUUAGCUGGGUAUAAUGACAGAGUGAGUAGAGGUAGACUCAGAUGUUCUGUUAGCUGGGUAUAAUGACAGAGUGAGUAGAGGUAGACUCAGAUGUUCUGUUAGCUGGGUAUAAUGACAGAGUGGGUAGAGGUAGACUCAGAUGUUCUGUUAACUGGGUAUAAUGACAGAGUGGGUAGAGGUAGACUCAGAUGUUCUGUUAGCUGGGUAUAAUGACAGAGUGGGUAGAGGUAGACUCAGAUGUUCUGUUAGCUGGGUAUAAUGACAGAGUGGGUAGAGGUAGACUCAGAUGUUCUGUUAGCUGGGUAUAAUGUCUACAGACAGAGUGGGUAGAGGUAGACUCAGAUGUUCUGUUAGCUGGGUAUAAUGACAGAGUGGGUAGAGGUAGACUCAGAU